CCUCCCCUCCAUCCUUCACCCUUCCGGACAGAUCUGCCAUAGGAUUGCCAGACCCGCUUUCCCACCUCCCUCUAGCCUCUGGAAUGAAUGUGGAAUGGAUGUCUGAGCAUGUGAGGAGUGUGACUGGGAGACCAGGUAGGAGACCAAGGAGGACAUUCAGAUUCUGUUUGUAGUUGUCCUUCCUUAAAAAUCCUUCCCUAGAUAUCUGCCCCCAAAAGUGGGAGUGGUUGGUUCAAGAAUAUGUAAUAUUUGAGCUGUUUUGAAGGAAGAGUAAGAGUUUGCCAGUUGGCUAGGAUGGGGAAGGGUGUUUAGGCAGAGGGGAAAAUCGCCCACACCUCUGAGAACAACAUUAUUUCCAAAGUAAUUGAAAAUCACAUUUUACAGUUUUCUAAUUAUAAUACAAUAACAUGAAAUAUUCAUAGCAAUGACAAAAAGGUUAGGCCUAUUUGAAAGCUGAAAAAAUACUUGGGUGAAAGAGGAAAUAAGAACGGAAUUUAUAGACUAUUUAGGGUAAGUAUCAAUUAUAGACUCUUUAGAAUAAAUGUCAGCAGGAAUACUAUAUAUCAAAACCCACGGGAUAUGACCAUGGGGGAUUCCUGGAGGAAAAUUUAUCAUCUUAAAUGCUUUUAUUAGAGAACCAGACAGUUUAAAUUUAAUGAACUAAUUAUUCCACUCAAGAAUUUAGAAAAAGAACAACUGAAAGAAAGCAGAAUAAAGUAAUUACUAUAGAUAAAACCAGAAACUCAUGGAAUAGAAAAUAAAAGAUUUGAUAAACUAAGAGGUGAUUUUUGAAAAGACCGGUAAACUAGACAGACUGUCCUCUGACAGAUAUGACACAGAAAAAGGCAAGAAAGACACAAAUAAAAUAAGGUAUGAUGAAGGGGAUUUAACCACAGAUUUUGAAGAGAUAAAAAAGUCAUAAAAGAUGCUUUGUAUAAUUUUAUACCAAUAAAUAUAAAACUGUAGAUGAAAUGGGUGGUUUUCUAGGAAAAUAUAAAUUACCAAAAUGAUAUAAGGAGUGACAGAAAAGCUGACUAGAAUAGAACAAUACAGAAGAAGUUAAAAAGAUGGUCAAAGUUUUCUCCUUAGAAAUGGUACCAGGGCCCAGUUGGUAUCAUGGACGUUCUGGUAUGAUGGAAGUUCUUUCAAAUCUGGAAAGAUCAGGUAAUAGAAAAAAAUGGACUCUCUCUGGGUAGUUGGUUCAUUCCAGAAAGCUAGUAUGACUGGAUAGGUUUAGACAAAAAAAUAUGAAAACUAUAGCCUAAUCUCAUAUAUUAAUACAGUCACAAAUAUUUUAAAUAAAAGUAUCAAACUGAAUCCAUCAGUGUAUUGAAAGAAGAAUGCAUCGUGACAAAUGAAGGUUUGUCCCAGGAAUGCAGGGAUUGUUCAACAUUAGGAUAGCUGUUAUUGUAAUGGAUUACAUUAAUAGAUUAAAUUAAAUGGAACAUAUAACUAUCUCCAUAAAUGCUGAAAAAUAAUCUGAUACAAUUACACAUCCAUUCUUGAUUUUAGAACUCUUAGUAACUGUCCUGGUUAUUUCUUGCUAUAUUGGGUAAUUUGUUACACAGCAAUAGAUAACUACUAUAGUAAGCUAUCAGUGAAGAUGUUCUUAAAUUGGUAAAGAAUUUUUUAUCAGAAACCAAAGACAAUCAUCAGAUGUAAUUGUGAACUACUAGAUAAAUUGCCAUUAAGUUUGGGAACAAAAUAAGUAUGACUGCCUCGCUGUCACUAACCAACAUUUUUUUUUUCUAGAAGUUUUAACCAGUGGGCUUAAAAAAAGAAAAAAAGUGGUAUAAAUAUUAGAAAGAAAGACUCAGAAUUAGCACUCUUUGAAGAUUGUGUGGUUGGCUACUUAGACAAUCAACAAGAAUAAGAGGAAAAUUUAUUAGAACUAACGUAAAAAUUAUGUGAGAUGGCCAGACACAAGAUAAAUAUGCACCCAAACCAUUAGCUUCUCUGAAUACCAGCAAUAACUAAUUAGAAGACAUAAUAGAAGUAGUAGGGAAAAAUGAUAAAAUUCCUAGGAAUUGACAAGAAACAUGAAAUAUUUCUCUGUAGAAAAUUAUAAAAUUUCAUUAAAGGCUGUGAGAAGAAUUGAAUAGUCAAGCGUCGUAUCCUGUUCCUGGAUGGGAAGAUUGAAUAUAGUAAAAAUGGUAUUUUUCCUCUCAAUUUGGUCAAAAGGUUCAAUGCAUUUCUCAUUAAAAUUUCAUUGGUAUUUUCUUUGGGAAUUGGGCAAUUGGAUUUUAAAGUUCAUUUGGAAGAGUGAAUGCCCAUGGAUUACUAAGAAAAUUUUGGAAAAGAAGAACAAUGAGGGGAACCUUGUCUUAUUAAAUGCAAACUUAACAUAAAGCUGCAGAAAUUACAUAUAAUAACACAGAAAUGGAGGAUGGCAUACAUGGAACAAAACAGAGUUUAGAAACAAACCCAUAUAUUUAUAUGGGAAUUUAAUUUAUGAUAAAAAAACAAAUAUCAAAUCAGUAGGGAGUCAGUAAGUGGGAUGGGACCAUUGGCUACCAUUUGGGGAAAAAUGAAGUCAAACCUCUGUCUCAUAUAAAAUUGAAAACAAAGGAUAGAACUAUAAAUGUACCAGAAGAAAAUAUGGAAUAUUUUUAUAAUACUAAGGUGGAGGAGCCUUUCUGAGCAUGACUGAAGAACCCAGAAGCCAUAAAGUAAAAAGCAGUAAUUCUGGCUACAUCAAAGUUAAGAACUUCUGUUUGGACAAAGAUACCAUACACAAAGUUAAAACAUAACAACAGGCUAGGAAAACAACAACAUAGAUAUCAGGCAAAGGUUAAUAUCUAUGUCUGUAUAUCAACACCUGGAAACCAAUAAGAAAAAGUUGUAUACCACAUUUAAAAUAGAGAAAUAACACGAUUUGGCAAUUCAGUGAAGAAAUCGACAUCCAUUAGCUGAUGAAUGAGAAAGAUUACUCAAGCUUGCCAAUAGCUAAAGAAAUGUAACUAAAACAUCAACGAAGUACCAAUUUUAAAGUGCCAAAUGAGAAGACUGAAAGAGUUGUGAGGAAACGGAAGCUCUCACAUUCCUUGACUGGAGUGCAAAUUGGUGCAAUUUUUUUUAAUGGCACCUAUUUGUCAGUUGUCCCCAGACUCUUAAAUGUGCGCAUACUUCUAACCUGAGAACCAUGUCUUGGAGGGAGGUAGACUUCUCUAAGGCUUUACUGCUAGGUGGUCCCCCAACCAGAGGUCUUUUCUAAAACAUUCAAUCCCAACUACAAGCUUAAACUGUACUGUGCAACUCUUUUAUCACAUGCCCUUGUAGGAUAGCGUUCUCAGCCAACUCUUAAUGAAAAGGUUGCAUGAUGUAUGCUACUCAAAAUAAAGACAAGAUUAUGUGAGGAGGAAUAAUCUUUUAGCCAGUCUAUAAAAAUGUUAAAGCAACAAAAAUAACUUUUAGCCACAUUUCACACAAAAUAUGCAUUCCUUUGGCCCUACAGUUCAACUUUUAGGAGCCUAUCCUUCAAAACUACUUCCAGACAAAUGCAAAGAUGUUCAUUGCAGCAUUGUUUAUAAUAGCGAAAAUUAAAACAAUCUUCCUGUCCGUCAAUGGAGAGCAGCUUUUCCUUCAUGAUUCACCCCUACUAUGUGAUACUCUUACAGAUCAAAAGAAAAAGAUCUAUCUCUGUACUGGCAUGGAAGAAUCUCCAAGACUUAUUAUUAUAUGAAAAAAAGCAAGUGGCAGAACAAGGCUUGUAGUGUUAUCCCAUUGUCGUAAGGAAAAGAAAAUCCACAUAACAAUGAUGAAAACAUGUUAUACGUAUCCCGUCAUGAUAUCAAAAUCACUGGCCUUUUUCCUUGGUCUCAUUUCCUCCCUUUUACUAAUUGAUUUCCUUCUUCCUCUACACCAUUUCCCUGUGUCCCGUUGUUCAGAUCUUGCUUUUCCUUUUAAUAACUAGCUCAAAUACCACCUGAUUCAUUUAGCAAGAUUUGUCUGGCCUACCCUUGGUUAAGCCUUGUGCUGAGCCUCUGUGGGAUACAGGACUGAAUUGUAUCUGGUCCUACCAUCUGGUGCUACCAUCUAGAGCUGAAGUCUAAAAGGGAGAGACAGGUAGACCAUGACAGCAUAGUGUGGUUUGGUAUGGGACAAAAAUAGGUUCAGAGGGCCUCCUGAAGAAGGGCACCUAAUUGCAUCUGCUCCUACAGGAGGGGACAUGGGUGCUGAGUCUUGAAAGAGCAAUAGCUUUCCUUCAUCCCCCAACCCUGACUGAACUGGUCUUGUCUACUUUUUGGCUAUUCCAAGCAGGAUGAUGUAAUGGGGGGAAAUAUUUGAGUCAGUACCUUUCUUUAUUCAAAUCUAAGUUUGACCACUUACCAAAUCUAUGACUGUGGGCAGGCCAUUUAACCUCUGAGCCUCUGUUUCCUCAUCUGCAUAAUGAGGAUAAUGCCUACUUAACUCUCAGGGCUGAUUUAGGAUUGGAGAUGGUACAUGUAAAAUUCCUGGGUGACUAUCAACUCUUGAAGGACAGGGACCACCCAUGUCUUCUGUUCCUCAUAGGCAAGUGUGUUGCAUUGGAUUGGAUUGGAUUGGAUUAGAUUGGAUUGGACUGGAUCUGGGGAUGGUUCUGGAGCAAAGAAUGGGCCUAACCAUAGUGGGACUUUGAGAUGAGAAGGCUGAGAGUUGUACACAGGACGGAGGGGACUGCACUAUAAGAAGAGAGAGCCACGUCUCUGGUCUUGCCAUGAAGGUGGCACAGGAGGGAAAAAAUGGGCAGGUGGCCCUGGGAAAUGGAGCCCACACAGGGCAUUCUGCUCCUGGUUCUUGGCCCUGUUCUACUGAUGCCAUCUUCCAGUCUCACAGUCCAAGGCAGGGAAGCAUGGUGGACCAAUAUUUGCACUGGGGCCAGCACAUCUCAAUUUCAUUCCCAGUUCUUUCACUCCCUAGCUGGGUGAUUGUAAACAACUCCCUUCACAUCUCUGAGCCUAGUUCCUUAUCUGUUAAAAGAAACACAAUACCACUAACAUCGUGAGGUUUAUAGAGGAGAUCAAUUGCUGAGUGCCUGGCACAUAAUGGGUACUCAAAAAAAAAAAAGCAUAGCUGUUCUUAGUGUUUGUUUUAGGAGACACUUACAGAGUUCUGUUGUAGCCAGGGCCUAUGCUGAGUAAUGGUUCUUGCCUUCCACAAGUCCCCAGUUAGUUAGGGAGACCGAGGAGUGCUAUGAUAGAGGAGCUCCUGGUUUGGGGUGGGGUGCUGUGGAAGCCGCAAAGAGGGGAUCUGGCCUAGUCCAGGACUGCUGCAGGUCAACUUAACCUAAGAGCUGAGUCUUAGAGGAUGAGUAAGAGGUAGUCAGGGAUAGAAGGGUGAAGUGUGGAAGAACAUUUCAGGAAGAAGGAAUGGCAUAUGCAGAAGAACCUAGAUGUUAUUGGGUAGGGCCAGAGGUUCUUAACCUGGGGUGACAUGGGCUACAAGUGGUCCAUGAAACUCCUGAAAUUGAGUGCAAAGUGUUUUGUGUGUGCACUUGGUUUUUUUUGUGCAUUUUUUUUUUGGGGGGGGGGGGAGAUGGUUCAUGGCUUUUGUUAUAUGCAUAAAGUGUUUGUGCUCCUACAAAAAGGUCAAGAACCAGUGUUGCCAGUGACAAAGUGUCAUGGGAAUGGAUCCUAAACAGGAGAGAAAUUUGGUGAAAUUUGUGUUUUAGAAACAUCCCAUUAGCAGUGAGUAUGAGAAGUGGAUUAUAUGCCUGGGGGCCAGCUGGAGGGCCUAAACUGGGGUAUUGGCACAGAAGGGAAUGGAUUUGAGCAGAACUACCCUGUUGCACUACUCCAGUGGGCACUGGUCAUAUAGAAGCAUUUUAAUUUCAAAUUACGGAAUCAAAAGUCUUUGAGAGUUAUUAAUGAGAUAGACUCGAUGGAAGAUGAAGGGAAGGGAGGAGACAAGGAUGAGCUGGCCACAGGGACAUGAAUCCAGGGUAACUGCAAGAGGAAAAGGGAACCUCUAUUAAUGCUUACCCAGCACUCAGUGUCCUUGGUGGUUACUAGCUUCCAGCCUGCUCGGUUCUUAGAGAUCCCAGAGAGACACUGAAGACACUUCUCUCUCUAUGGACUUUGGAGAGGAUUUACGUCUGGGUUGUGAGUCACGUUGUUUCCUAAAGAAAGUGAUGUUUGAGUCAGUCAUUCAAGGUCCCCAAAGAUCUGGAGAGCUAGGGAUGGGGGAGGAUGCUCUGGGAGGACACACAAAGGCCCAGGGGUGAGGGAUGGUGAAAUCAAAUGUGGGAGGGGGUGGAGUUUAGAUCUGCCUCAAACAGCUCUCUGGGGACAGUCAGUCUUCCUUCUUCAUGGUAGGCAGCUAGGGAGCCAGGAGCAGAUCUUGAGUAGACAAAGUGACACGUCAAAGAGGCUUUUUAGAGGAAGGGAAACUAGGGAGGAGGCUGCUGUGGUAAUUCAGGAGAGAGAGAAGCUAAGGUAGCAGCCAUGAGGAUAGAGCAGAGGAGAUGCAUUCGAGAGGUGAUUGGGAGGAAGAGAGAACUGGAGUAGUAGGCUGAAUAAAUAGUGGGGAUGGGAAGGAGUGGAGAUGACAGAGGUUGGAAUUCACAGUGAGUUUCAGUGUUCGGGUCUGGCAAUGGAGUUAUGCAUUAAAUGAAUAUUUCUUGAGUGCCAGACGCUGUGCUGGGCAUUGGGAAUACAGCACUUAACAGAACAGAUGCUGGUCCUGAUAGAUCUUAUGGUGGGUGAGAUGGAUAAUAGAUAAAUAAACAACAAAAUAUAUAGAAUGUGUCUGGUGCCACGCCUCUCUGGGGGACGAUGUUCCAGACAGAAGGAACGUGGAGCGCAAAGGCCCUGAGAUAAGCAUGUGCAGGUCAUGUCUGAGGGACAGCAGGGAGACUAGUAUGAUUGGAGAAAGAACCAACAAGGGGUGAGAGGAGUAGAAGAUGAGGAGGUGGAAUCGGCAGAAUUUGGUGACUGACUUGUUAAAGGAGCAGGAAGAAUCUAGCAUGGCCCCCAGGUGUGUUCUGCGCUUGGGCCACUGGGUGGAAAGUGGUGCUUUUCAUUAAGGUGCAAAAUGCAGAGGACAGGUUUGCAGUGGUAAGAUGCUGAGUUUGAGGUCACGGUGAGCCCUGAAGGCCAUAAGGCCAUCCUGGCGGAGCUUUCUGCAAGCAUUAGACUUGAUGGGUCUGAGACCCAAGAGAGAGAUCCAUGAGACAGAGACAGAGACAGAGAUGGGGGAGGGGGCCUAAGCCAUCCCUGACGUUAGGCCAUGGAGUGGGACUGCUGACAAGGGGUAUGGAAUGAAAGAGAAGAGGGCCAGAGCAGGACUGGGGAAGAGGAACCAACGCAUAAGAGAUGGGGAGAGGAAGAAGAGAUGGGGGUGGUCAGAGAAGUAGGAGGAGAACCAGCAGGGAGUGGGCUCACAGAAGCAGAGGAAGGCAGGAGCCAUCCGUGCACAAAGGAGGGGCUUGUUAAGAGUGGCAAAUGUUACAGCUGGGGGAAGGAAGAUGAGGGUGGGAGAGAGUCUAUUGGCUUUAACCACUAGGAGGUCCUCGGCGACCUGGCUAAGAACAGUUUUGGUGGCAGGGUGGGCGCACGAGGCAGAUUGCAGUGGGUUGGAGAGCUCGUGGGAGGUACUGAAGUGGAGAUGGCCAGUGGAGAUGAAUUUCUCAAGAAGCUUAGCUGUGAAGAGGAGAGAGGGACAGUGAUUGCUAGAGGGAGAUGUGGGGGCAGAUAGAGGGUUUUUAUUCCCAGAUGGGAGAGACUUGAGCUUCUAUAAAUGUUGGUAAGAAGGAGGCAACAGAAAGAGAGAAAGAGAGAAGUUGAAACACGGGAGAGAGAGGGGAUGGUAGUUGUGGAGGAGGUAGCAGGGGUGGGCCCAGAGCCCGAGUGGAGGGGCUGGCCUUAAAUAGUAUAGGGGCCCUCUCUUUCUCACAGAGAGGCAGAGCAGGGGUAGUGGGGGCGAAGACAAGGGCGUUGAGGGGGCUGGUGAAAGAAAUGCUUCAGUGGAGUUUGGAGCAACCACCAAGAGCAGGGAUGGGGAAGCUAAGAGGAAGCAAGGAAUACUUCUCCUUGUGAGUCAGGGAGGACUUCCUGCAAGAAGCAGCAUUUAAACAGGGCCAAUCAUGUUCAGAUGGGAUCUCAGUGGCAGAAGAUAUGUGCAGAGGGAAGAAACAGAGUCAGCAAAGGCACGGAGGUAUGAAGAAGCUGGCCAUCCUAAGGGAGUAAUGAACGAGCUGGUUUGAUGAAGGCUAAGCAUGAAGUGAGUCACUAAUAAUGACAGUAAUAAUAAGAGUUACUGUGUAUGAAGCCCCAAACAUACCCUGUGGCAGGUGCUCGACAUACUUGACUCCAUUUAAUUCCACCACACCCUGCAGAAUGGGCAUUUUCUCACUUUGUAGAUGAGGAACAUAAGUCUUAGAGAAGUAUAGAAGUGGACCCGAGGUCACCCAGCUAGUAGGAGGUGUGGCUGAUAUUCGUACCCAGGUCUGGGGAACUCUAAAGCCCAUGUUUUCUCUACCAGAUAAGACCAGGUGAAGCCAUAUGGUGGUGGAGCCUUGAAUGCCAACUUGGAGAGUCUGACCUUUUAUCCAGGAAGUGAUGGAGAGCCAAGGGAAGAGGAGGAGGAGGAGGAGACUGAGGAAGAGGAAGAGGAAGACGCUCAUCAGUUCUGCUGUCCGGCCUCCGAGUGCAGUAGUCCCUCCUCUCGGUAACUGAGAGGACAAGGGUCAUUUUCUAUGCAGAAGCAAAAGCCUUAACCAGCCCCUUCACCCCCCCGCCCGCUAUCCCCUAUGGGACCCUGUCCCUGCUUCAGGAUGGGCAAGCAUCGUGCCCCUUCCUCCCCCACCUCCUUGGAAUUCCCACACACCCCUACUGCUGUUUCCCCUGGACUCCAGCCCCCGAAUUAUAAAGGCUGGAGCCCUAGGUCUGACUAAAAUAUGGGAGCAGCAGAGCUUGGAGCUUGGAGCUUGGAACCUGGACCCUCCCGCACCCGCACCCUAUUUCCCAGGCACCCUGGAGCCUGCCACUCCUGGAGAGGUCUCCAAAUGACAUCCCAAGGACCUACCUCUGUCCUCUGUGAGCACAAACAGAGAUGCAGGGUGCCUAGGGCUCAGAGGACCAGACGGGGGCGGGACCCAGCCUGCCUAGUUCCCCGUUGCUCGUUCCCUCGCUGCGGCCAUUGCUGCCAUCUCCUCCGCCGCUUGAAGGCCUCGUCCCAUGCCCUCUGCCACUCCCAUAGUGCUCUGUAAAUAUGAUCAGGAGAAAAAGGCCUUUCAGAGUGCGUGUGUCGCUGUGUACAAAGGAAUUUCCAUCAAUAAAAGCUGAUCUCUUC